ensembl:lncRNA
CGGACCCAUAUCCGGUUGGCGGUUCUUUUCAAUUACGAAGGUGUUAAGUCGUUUGAUUGUGCUACAAGAGAUUGACGUGUUCUGCCCGUUCUGUGCGGUGCAACUGGGGGACGCUCCCAAGUUUUGCCCGUCAUGUGGGCAGAAUGUGGGGUUCCUUACACAGCUCCCAUCAACUCCAUCCACCUCGUCAAGCGAAGGCUGUGGGCCUACAGAUUUCGAUUGGCAUCAUGUCAAGGACCAAGAAUGGUUUAAAACCUCAAAGAGGGAAAACCAUGCCGUUAAAUGUUGAACCCCAGUGGUCAACAACCCAAAUCUUGCCAGCUGCUUUAAAGAAGCAGCAAGAUUUUAAUCAAAACGCAAUGGUAGAUGGAGAAUAUGUGCUUCUCUCUCCUGAUGGAUCUCAGGUAGAAAAUAUACCUACAGACAGACCUUUUGUUCUUGAACAUUAUAAAGAGGCAAUUGGGAAAUCUUACCAGAGGAUUACGCUGUACAUCUGCCUUCUUCAGGAUUUGAGUUAUGGAGAUGACUCAUCUUCAGAAUCCGAUGAUUGUGAAGCAUUUGGUCGGCUUCCAAUGAAAAUGUCCCCAAAACAAUCUCUGCCAACAACAUCCAGGGCAUCUGGUGGGCAAGCCAAUGGAGCAGGAGCAGGACCCAAAAGACCACAUCACCAAACACAUCAUGUGAAUUCUACAAUACAUAUACAAAUGUAUAUGCACCAGUUGUCAUUGACAGCAGUUCCUCAGAUGUUGAGGAAGUCGACUACUCUCAGGUGGAAGACAGAGAGCAAGUUUUUGGACUGACUGCUGCUGACGUUUUGUCCAAUCUGUCAGAACACGAGCAACUGCAGCAGGUUCAACAUCAACCGUGCCAAUGUCUGGGAUGGGGCUCUGAGGGGAUUUAAGCGGUCCUCGUUUGACCCCACCGGUAGCCUUUUGGUGAAAUUCACAGACGACAUCGGGCAGACUGAGGACGCCGUUGACACAGGAGGGCCUACGCGGGAAUUCCUCACACUGUUGAUGGACGCCAUUAAAAACAGGCGUUUUUUUGAAGGCAGGGAAGAUGGCAAAUACCUGUCAUUUGACAGCAAAGCUGCAGACGGUGAUGAGUACUUCCAUGUUGGAAGAAUGGUGGCCAUGUCCAUUGUCCAUGGUGGUCCAGGGCCUCGUUGCUUUUCCGAGAACUUCUACCACUACCUAGUGGGUAAGGUGAAGACUAUUGAGGCCCCAAUUGCAGACGUACCUGAUCUUGAUCUCAGGAAUGUUCUCCUUGAGAUUAAGAAUGCAACAACCUUGGAAGAACUCUUGGAACUUAACGAUAAGCACGCUAGCAUGCUUCAGACAGCAGGAUGCUAUCGAUGCCUGAGGACACUGGAGGAUAAGGAACAAGUUGUAAAUGAUUACAUCCAGUGGUAUUUCACCUACCGUAACCAUGUUUCCUUCCAGAGGUUCAAGGACGGCCUGGCUACCCUGAACCUUUUCAAUGCUCUGGAACAACAUCCCUCCCUGUUCCAGCCUUACAUGGUUUACAGCGGAAGACCUGAAAGCAGAGACUCUAGAGGCGCUGUUCCGUCCACAAAUGAGCCCAACUGGUAGCUCAAACCGCCAGGAGGAGGAGAGAGUGCUUGGCUACUGGCUGGACUACUUAAUCGCUGUAAAA